rnacentral:sRNA from 1 species
AGGAAGUCGCUUCUUUUUCUGGCAGAAGGCGGGGUUCUCCCCGUACGCUGCGGAGUCUCUGCGGGGUGUAGACCGGAAUCCUGCUGACGGGCAGAGUGGAUCAGGGAGGGAGGGUCGAGACACGGUGGCUGCAGGUCUGAGACAAGGCUGCUCCGAGGUAGUAGCUCUCUUGCCUGGAGGUGGCCAUUCAUUCCUGGAGUGCUGCUGAGGAGCGAGGGCCCCUCUGGGGUCUCUGGAAGUCGGUGCCCAGGCCUGAAGAAUAGCCCCCCCUUGCGCUUCCCUGGGCUGCGACCGGCCUUCUCAGAGCGAAGGGCGUCCUUCCACCCCGCGGCGCAGGUGACCGCUGCCAUGGCUUUUCCCCAUCGGCCAGACGCCCCUGAGCUGCCUGACUUCUCCAUGCUGAAGAGGCUGGCUCGAGACCAGCUCAUCUAUCUGCUGGAGCAGAUUGUGCUUCUUGGUCAGACCCCGCAUCAAGAAUAUGCGAUACAUUGCCAGUCUUGUCAAUGCUGACAAAUUGGCUGGCCGAACUCGCAAAUACAAAGUGAUCUUCAGCCCUCAAAAG